ACAAAGCCCAAAGCCAGACAAGUCCAACGCCUCACCCUUUAUCCACUGAUCUUUCUGGAAAACAGAUCUGAUGCGCUCAAGGCCUUCUGUUAUUUAAGUCUUCGCUCAUUCCUUGUUGCCUAUAAAAGAAAGUCCAAGAUCCGAGAUCCUCCGGCGAGCAGCCAACUUCUCACCACUGUGAUCAUUCAUACAUCCUACACACAAAGGCUUCUCCGCAGAGACAGAAGCAGUGGGAUGGAGUCAUUCCUCUGGUUUAGGAGGGGCCGAGCCUCACGGUUACGGAGGCUGAGGAGUUCCAUCUGCAGUGUGGGCGGACACUGUGCUGAGCAUUUCACAUGUGUUGCUUCAUGUCUUCCUCAUUAGCACCAUUUGCAUACAGUCUGUCAUUUAUUCCCAUUCUCCAGGGAGAGAGAGUGAGGCACAGGGAAGUCAGGCGACUCUGCCAAGGCCGCAGGGUCAGCGGGCAGGGCAUCAGGACCGCUGACGGCGGCUUCUCCAUCAGGCACAAGAGGCUCAUCGGAUACCAUCCACGAAACCGUUAGGGGACCCCACGUCGUUUUCCUUUUCAUUUAUUGUAAAGUCAGGAGGAAGAAAAACGAAUCUAAU
ensembl:lncRNA